rnacentral:rRNA from 1 species
UAGAGAAUACCCACGCUGGCCUCCUCAGCGUCAGUACCGGCCCAGAGAGCGGCCUUCGCCGUCGGUGUUCCUCCUGAUAUCUGCACAUUUCAACGCUACACCAGGAAUUCCACACUCCUCUACCGGAGUCCAGUCACGGCAGUAUCAAAUGCAGUCCUAGAUUUGAGGGCCAACCGUUUUCAUCCGAAUUACUGAGCCGAAUACGAUCCCUGUAGGCCCAAUAAUUCCGGACAACACUUGCCCCGUACGGGUUCGGAUGAGCGCUGGCUAGUAGUUGGCCGGGGCUUCUUCUACAGGUCCCAUCAAUUUAGUCCGUGGGGAAAGGGGUUUACAACCCGAGAGCCUUCAUGCCCCACGCGGCGCAAUGCGUCAGGCUUUCGCCCAUUGGGAAGAUUCCCC